rnacentral:misc_RNA from 1 species
GGAUGAGAGUGGGAUUUACUCUUGAGUUUCCUUGUAGGUAUUAGAGGACAUAUUGCUUUAGUGGGGUGGCUUAAGCAUUAGGUGAGAGUAGGAUUUACUGUCGGGUUUCCCUCUAAGUAUUUGAGGAAGCAUUGCUUCAUUGAGGUGACUUAAACAAUGGGUGGAGAUAGCGGGGCUUUUAUUUUAUGCAAGAGGCAUACAAAUCAUUGUGAGAGAUAUUGAGUGGGGAUUGCUCAAGGGAUCAUUACAUUGUAUGCA